CACGUAGGGGCCAAGCGUUGUCCGGAUUUAUUGGGCGUAAAGAGCUCGUAGGCGGUUCAGUAAGUCGGGUGUGAAAACUCUGGGCUCAACCCGGAGACGCCACCUGAUACUGCUGUGACUUGAGUCCGGUAGGGGAGUGUGGAAUUCCUGGUGUAGCGGUGAAAUGCGCAGAUAUCAGGAGGAACACCAGCGGCGAAGGCGGCACUCUGGACCGGCACUGACGCUGAGGAGCGAAAGCGUGGGUAGCAAACAGG
rnacentral:rRNA from 1 species